UGGGUCAGCGGGACACUGGGACACCGGGACCCCGCGACAGAGGGACACCGGGACCCUGGGGCCCCGGGACACCGGGGAGCAGCAGCACUGGGACCCCAGGACAGCGGGACACCGAGGAGCGGCGGCACCGGGACAGCAAGACACCGGGACUCUGGGACCCCGGGACACCGGGUAGCGGCGGUGCCGGGACAGAGGGACACCAGGACCCCGAGACCCCCGGGGAGCGGCGGCACCGAGACCCCGGGAAACCGGGACACCGAGGAGUGGCAGCACUGGGAUCCCGGGGCACCGGGACACCUCUGGGGGACACACACUGGGGAGCUCAGGGAGUACCGGGGGUGCGGGGAGGUGACACACACACACAGAGCGAGGGGAGCCUCGGGUUGCAGGAGGAACCUUGGGGUGCAGGGGCUGGGCAAACACCGGGGUGCAGGGCCAAGCGAGGGCUGCUGGGGGACUGCACGGGCUGUGCCAAGGGGUCAGUGCUGUGCCAGACCAAGGACGUGCCACCCGGCCCCGGGGUACCCUGUACCCUCCCUGCUCUGAGUCCAUCCAUCAACCUGCUCCAAAACAUGGAACAAGCCCCCAGAAUCUGCCAUGAGCUGUGAGACAGCAAGGAGCCGGGUGUGCCAUCCAUUCCAUGGCUGUCCUGGCCACCACACAGCUUUCCCAUCCAUCCAUCCAUCACAGGGCUGACACUGGCACGGCUGCACGGAGUUGCCAUGGCACUGCACACCACCCUGGUGACAGGGAUGAAACUGGAGCCCGCGGGGCCAUUGUGGGAUGUGCUUUCCCAGGAGCAGGCCUGGCUUUGUCCCAGCCUGUGCCACGCUCCCGUCUCUCAGAACGCGGCCGUCCAUCCCAGGGGCUGUGACCCGCUCCAGGCACCUUUCCAGGCAGCCCAAGGCCGAGGUGCCUCAGACAUCCUCGUCCCGCAGCAGCGGUGGGGAUGCCUCGUCUCUCUGCUCCUCGCUCGCAGCACCCUUUGCACCUGAAGAGCAAACAUGACCUCCUUCCUCUGUCAUGGCCACCAAGGCUUGUGGGGUCCUCCAUGGAAAGAACUUUUUCCUUCCUGAAACUUAAUAGCAAACAGCCUACAAGACAUCCCUAAUUUUUCA